GUCAUCUAGCUAGUUUCAGCUUCAGUUUUUUAAACCAAGGGCGCGCUCACUCAUACCUGCAUUUUCAUCAUCCAUGAUUGGAAUGAAACACAAGGGACGUCAAAGAAAGAGUCUCUGGGAGGAACUUCCGUAAGCCUCAAGCCAUGUGGUUGACAAGCUCAUUCAGUGCAUUGUAUGAGGAGCCUCCACUUCUUACAGAGACUUUAAGCUUCUCUUUAAAAUCAA